GGGCAAGUCCCGCGCGGUCAGCUCCCUUUGAACUCCGUCAGGGCCGGAAGGCAGCAGCGGUAAAGGGUUGUAGCGAUGCGAUGCGGUAAGCUUGCCCUAU
rnacentral:SRP_RNA from 1 species